AACCUCAUCUGGGCACAGGCCCAUCUAUCUACUCCUGUGGCAUUUGUAUCUCCAAACAAAGCAACCCUCCCCCUUCACCACAGCCUUCAACACUGCCCCUCAAGUUUUUGUUACAAGCAGCAUAACAGCACAUCAAAAACAUCUGUGCUUUUAUGUGGCUUGUGCAGGUUGUUUUCCCUUAUUGCUUGCAUCAUUGUGCAAAUAUCAAAGAGAAAGUGAAGCUGGCAAGAACACAGAGGUCUUGGAAAGGCAGCCUUUCCCAGGCAGCUUCUACAGGUGAGCAAAAGAGUUAGAGUGGGGAACAAGGAAAGGACUCAAAGGAAUAAUGACAAUUGUGAAACAAUUUGCUCCCAGUCAGCUGAAGCAAGGAAGUUCUCUUGCUCACUUUCUGUGACCCAGGAACAGAGGGGAGGGAGAUGGGAAAUUCACCUGGGAGUCAUCCAAAUGCAUUCAUCCAUUGCAUCAAAUUCCAAAUGCAAUGCAUGAACAUAAAAGUCUAGAAAUUAACUGAGAGGAUUUCAGUUUGCACAGCAUCUACUGACUAAUACCUAAGCAUGUUCCAGCACAAUGGCCAUUCCUGAGUGUUUUGCCUUUGUAGUUGAGUGCACUGCAGGAUGUUAAAUAAUUAAGAUAAUAUUCUUGUAUCCCAGAUGCCAACAAAUGACAGCAUGAGAUUCACUGUUCAGCUUUCUGGAUGCUGUUCAUGCAUUAUACAACACAUAAUUUUCAAACUGGUUAAACAAACCACAAAUGUGAUCGUGUCACCAAGUAAACCGAGCUGAAGGACAACCAGUGUGUCCAGAGCAGCAACUACUUACCCAACCUGGGCAUAACUGCCCCCAGGAACUGUUCAUCUUCCUGAAAAUGGUUUUCUUGCAGAGAUUCAAGCAGUUUCUGUAAGACAUCCUGCGGCACUUUGCAGCCUGUGCCCUUCAGUUCAGUGAAUCGG